rnacentral:rRNA from 1 species
GACGAACGCUGGCGGCGUGCUUAACACAUGCAAGUCGAACGGGAAGGCCCUGCUUUUGUGGUGUGCUCGAGUGGCGAACGGGUGGGUAACGCGUGAGUAGCCUGCCCUUGACUUUGGGAUAACUUCAGGAAACUGGGGCUAAUACCGGAUAGGAGCUCCUGCUUCAUGGUGGGGGUUGGAAAGUUUCGGCGGUUGGAGAUGGACUCGCGGCUUAUCAGCUUGUUGGUGGGGUAGUGGCUUACCAAGGCUUUGACGGGUAGCGGGCCUGAGAGGGUGACCGGCCACAUUGGGACUGAGAUACGGCCCAGAAUCCUACGGGAGGCAGCAGUGUGGAAUAUUGCACAAUGGGCGGAAGCCUGAUGCAGCAACGCCGCGUGUGGGAUGACGGCGUUCGGGGUGUAUAACGCUUUCGCCUGUGACGAAGAGUGAGUGACGGUAAUGGGUAAAGAAGCACCGGCUAACUACGUG